CCGUACUCCCCAGGCGGUCGACUUAUCGCGUUAGCUGCGCCACUAAGAUCUCAAGGAUCCCAACGGCUAGUCGACAUCGUUUACGGCGUGGACUACCAGGGUAUCUAAUCCUGUUUGCUCCCCACGCUUUCGCACCUCAGUGUCAGUAUCAGUCCAGGUGGUCGCCUUCGCCACUGGUGUUCCUUCCUAUAUCUACGCAUUUCACCGCUACACAGGAAAUUCCACCACCCUCUACCGUACUCUAGCUCAGUAGUUUUGGAUGCAGUUCCCAGGUUGAGCCCGGGGAUUUCACAUCCAACUUGCUGAACCACCUACGCGCGCUUUACGCCCAGUAAUUCCGAUUAACGCUUGCACCCUUCGUAUUACCGCGGCUGCUGGCACGAAGUUAGCCGGUGCUUAUUCUGUUGGUAACGUCAAAACAGCAAGGUAUUAACUUACUGCCCUUCCUCCCAACUUAAAGUGCUUUACAAUCCGAAGACCUUCUUCACACACGCGGCAUGGCUGGAUCAGGCUUUCGCCCAUUGUCCAAUAUUCCCCACUGCUGCCUCCCGUAGGAGUCUGGACCGUGUCUCAGUUCCAGUGUGACUGAUCAUCCUCUCAGACCAGUUACGGAUCGUCGCCUUGGUAGGCCUUUACCCCACCAACUAGCUAAUCCGACCUAGGCUCAUCUGAUAGCGUGAGGUCCGAAGAUCCCCCACUUUCUCCCUCAGGACGUAUGCGGUAUUAGCGCCCGUUUCCGGACGUUAUCCCCCACUACCAGGCAGAUUCCUAGGCAUUACUCACCCGUCCGCCGCUGAAUCCAGGAGCAAGCUCCCUUCAUCCGCUCGACUUGCAUGUGUUAGGCCUGCCGCCAGCGUUCAAUCUGAGCCAGGAUCAAACCCUC
rnacentral:rRNA from 1 species